AGUGAACGCUGGCGGUAGGCCUAACACAUGCAAGUCGAACGGCAGCACAGUAAGAGCUUGCUCUUACGGGUGGCGAGUGGCGGACGGGUGAGGAAUACAUCGGAAUCUACUUUUUCGUGGGGGAUAACGUAGGGAAACUUACGCUAAUACCGCAUACGACCUACGGGUGAAAGCAGGGGAUCUUCGGACCUUGCGCGAUUGAAUGAGCCGAUGUCGGAUUAGCUAGUUGGCGGGGUAAAGGCCCACCAAGGCGACGAUCCGUAGCUGGUCUGAGAGGAUGAACAGCGACACUGGAACUGAGACACGGUCCAGACUCCUACGGGAGGCAGCGUUGGGGAAUAUUGGACAAUGGGCGCAAGCCUGAUCCAGCCAUACCGCGUGGGUGAAGAAGGCCUUCGGGUUGUAAAGCCCUUUUGUUGGGAAAGAAAAGCAGCAGGUUAAAACCCCGCUGUUCUGACGGUACCCAAAGAAUAAGCACCGGCUAACUUCGUG
rnacentral:rRNA from 1 species